GGCAGAGCGCACGACGCCGCCGCCGCCUACGCGCGAGCCGCUACAACCUCCGACCGUCGUCGCCGCCGGCACAGGAGGGGGGCCAAGACGUCUCUCCAACGCGGGGCGAGCGCAGGACCGCGCCAGGCGUCCAAAAGAAGGAAGAUGCCUCGCGGCGACCGGGAAAGCGACUGGAGGGAAAAGGAGCAGUUCCGCAAACUGUUUAUUGGUGGCUUAAGCUUUGAAACCACAGAAGAAAGCUUGAGGAGUUACUAUGAGCAAUGGGGAAAGCUUACAGACUGUGUGGUAAUGAGGGAUCCUGCAAGCAAGAGAUCAAGGGGGUUUGGCUUUGUAACAUUCUCUUCCAUGGCUGAAGUUGAUGCAGCUAUGGCUGCAAGACCUCACACGAUUGAUGGAAGGGUGGUUGAGCCUAAGAGAGCUGUGGCUAGAGAGGAAUCUGGAAAACCUGGUGCUCAUGUUACUGUGAAAAAAUUAUUUGUUGGUGGUAUUAAAGAGGACACUGAAGAGCACCACCUUCGUGACUACUUUGAGGAGUAUGGAAAAAUUGACACUAUUGAAAUCAUUACUGACAGACAGUCUGGUAAAAAGAGAGGGUUUGGAUUUGUUACAUUUGAUGACCAUGAUCCUGUGGAUAAAAUUGUAUUGCAGAAGUACCACACCAUCAAUGGACAUAACGCAGAAGUAAGGAAAGCUCUCUCUAGACAGGAAAUGCAGGAGGUUCAAAAUUCUAGGAGUGGGAGAGGAGGAAACUUUGGUUUUGGUGAUGCUCGUGGAGGUGGUGGCAACUUCGGUCCAGGACCUGGCAGCAAUUUCAGAGGGGGAGCCGGUAAGACAGAUGGAUAUGGAAGCGGACGUGGAUUUGGUGAUGGAUAUAACGGAUAUGGCGGAGGACCUGGAGGUGGCAACUUUGGUGGCAGUCCUGGUUAUGGAGGAGGAAGAGGAGGCUAUGGUGGAGGAGGACCUGGUUAUGGCAACCAGGGUGGGGGCUAUGGAGGUGGUUAUGACAACUAUGGAGGAGGCAAUUAUGGAAGUGGAAACUAUAAUGAUUUUGGCAACUACAACCAACAACCUUCAAAUUAUGGUCCGAUGAAAAGUGGAAAUUUUGGUGGCAGCAGGAACAUGGGGGGACCAUAUGGUGGAGGAAACUAUGGUCCCGGGGGCAGUGGAGGAAGUGGUGGAUAUGGAGGGAGGAGCCGUUACUGAGUUUCUUCAAGCAUGCCAUGGGCUUCACUGUAUAAAUAGGAGAGGAUGAGAGCCCAGAGGUAACAGAACAGCUUCAGGUUAUCGAAAUAACAAUGUUAAGGAAACACUUAUCUCAGUCAUGCAUAAAUAUGCAGUGAUAUGGCAGAAGACACCAGAGCAGAUGCAGAGAGCCAUUUUGUGAAUGGAUUUGGAUUAUUUAAUAACAUUACCUUACUGUGGAGGAAGGAUUGUAAAAAUGCCUUUGAGACAGUUUCUUAGCUUUUUAAUUGUUGUUUCUUUCUAGUGGUCUUUGUAAGUGUAGAAGCAUUCCUUUGAUAAUGUUAAAUUUGUAAGUUUCAGGUGACAUGUGAAACCUUUUUUAAGAUUUUUCUCAAAGUUUUGAAAAGCUUUUAGCCAGGAUCAUGGUGUAAUAAGACAUAACGUUUUCCUUUUAAAAAUUUAAGUGCGUGUGUAGAGUUAAGAAGCUGUUGUACAUUUAUGAUUUUAAUAAAAUAAUUCUAAAGGAAAUAUUGUGUAAUUUUAGAUUUUUUUUUAAUACUGUAAAAUAAGGCAAGGAGUGGGUAGUAUAAGGUCCCACAAAUAAUACAAAGCUAUUGUUGUACGUGUAAAAUUUAAUGCUGGUGAGAAAAAAGUAUGUUGUCUGUAAAUUACCAGGUUUAAAAUAUCUAGGUAACUUAAGGGGUAUCUCUGCAAGGAGAAACACCUUUUUAGAUUUUUUAGAUGCUGCUUCUUCAAUGGCAAGGAAAGGAAAAAACCCCAGCAAGGUACUCUUCCAGGGACGCAGGUCUAGUACAAGAGAACUCUUGAAAACGUCACUAAAAGUUCAGCCAGUCUUAAAAAGCUGUGCUGUAUCUCUGCAAAGCUUUAACUACGGUAGAUUGUUUAUAAGGAUGGCAACGAAGGCUGAGGGUGUAGAGCAAAAUAGUUCUAAGCUUCAGUUAAACUUCUUUAGCUAUGAUAUGAACCCUGGACAAGCAUAGACUGCUGCCACUGUACACUGCUACAGUUGAACAAAUGAGACCUGCAAGUGUCCAUUAGUAAAGCUUUGCAAGGGUUCCAUCCCUGGUGUUGGUAGUUAAAAUGGUAGGUCACAAGUUAAUUAAAUCAUACAACUUUAUUUUUGCAUCCUGCAACAUUUUCUUUUUUCUUGGGAGUCUAUGCAUUAUGGUGGUUGCAAGGUAAUGCAAUGAAGGUAGUUCUGUGCUGUUGAAAAUGAACUAUGUUGUUCCGUGUCUUGUCUGCUGUAAUCUAUUCUAUAUAACACAUUUCAUCCCAAAGGUUCCCAAGUAACUGUAGAGUGUUUACGUGUAAAGAAAAAUUUCACCACAGAAUACAUCUGCCUCUGUGAAGGAAUGUGUCGUCCAUUUUCUUAACAACUGCAUAAGCAGUUCUUUAGGAGGGCAAGUGAAACCUUCAAAUGAAACUGCAGGAAGGUGCCAUGCUGCAGGUAACUAAUGAAGAAGUGGUCAACCACAGAAACGCUUCAAGAAAUAAGAAAUUCUGUAUCAUCAGAAAAUAGUUGUUUUUGCUGCCUUCAUUAAAAAUCUAGAGGUUAAAUGAGUACUGAUAAAACAUCACAAUUAGUACAGAUCCCUGUAAUGAUGGGUUUUUUAAAUUAUAGUAAUAAUGUCUUGUAAACCUUUCGAAUAAAAUUCAGAUUCGUUAGGAGAAACAAAUCACUAAUGUUAAAAUAGCAAACAUUCUGUGAGUAGAAAGUUUAACUACAUAUAUUUAUAACUUUCAUAGCUUUAAAAUAAAGUAUUUUUAUACCAAAGUA